GUGCUAUUCCGAGCAGGCAGACUCGCUCUCAGCAGCCAUGUCCUUCUCCAGAUCUAGCAUGUCCUACAGCAGCAGCGGCGGUGGAGGCGGAGGUGGCACCAUGUCCAUGAGGUCUGGAGGUGGAGGUGGAAUGGGUAUGGGCUCCUCCCGCUUCUCCUCGAUGGGUGGUGGUGGUGGAGGAGGCCGUGUCACUGCCAUGAGGGCCGGCAGUGUGUAUGGAGGAGCAGGAGGCUCUGGGGUGCGCAUCUCUAGCUCCUCGUUCGGUUCCGGUAGCGGAGGUGGUGGUUAUGGUUUCGGAAUGGGAGGGGGGCGGGGGCGGCGGUGGUGGCGGUUUUAGUUUUGGCAUGGGUGGGGGUGGUGGGGGUGGUGGUGGCAGCGGUGGAGCCGACCUCCAUGUGUCGGUCAAUGAGAAGGCCACAAUGCAGAACCUGAACGACCGCCUGUCCACCUACUUGGAGAAGGUGCGCUUGUUGGAGGCGGCCAACGCCGAGCUGGAGCUGAAGAUCCGUCAGUUCGUUGAGAGCAAGACGUCCCCCAGCGCUCGCGACUACUCUGGCUUCUAUGCUACUAUCGCCGACCUGCAGGACAAGAUCCAGGCUGCCACCUGCUUGAACGGAAGCAUCUAUCUCAGCAUCGACAACUCAAAGCUCGCUGCAGACGACUUCAGAAACAAGUAUGAGAACGAGCUGGCCAUGCGUCAGUCAGUGGAGGCGGACAUCGCCGGGCUGAAGAGGAUGCUGGAUGAGAUGACCAUGGCCAGAUCUGACCUGGAGAUGCAGAUCGAGGGACUGAAGGAGGAGCUCAUCUAUCUCAAGAAGAACCAUGAGGAGGAGCUGCUGGCCAUGAGGACGCAGAUGACUGGACAGAUCAACGUGGAGGUGGACGCAGCACCACAGGAGGACCUGUCCAGAGUCAUGGCUGAGAUUCGUGAGCAGUACGAGGCCGGUAGUGCCAAGAACCAGCGCGACUUGGAGGCCUGGUUCCAGACCAAGACAGAGACGUUGAACAAGGAGGUGGCGUCCAGCACAGAGGUUCUCCAGACCUCCAAGUCAGAGAUUUCGGAGAUCCGUCGCACACUGCAGGGCCUGGAGAUUGAACUGCAGUCACAGCUCAGCAUGAAAGGUUCCCUGGAGAACACGCUGGCGGAGACUGAAGGCCGUUACUCCAUGCAGCUGGGACGCCUCCAGAGCCAAGUGACCAGUCUGGAGGAGCAGCUAGUGUCUCUCCGCAGCGACAUGGAACGCCAGGGCCAGGAGUACAAGAUGCUGCUGGACAUCAAGACACGCCUGGAGAUGGAGAUCGCUGAGUACAGGAGGCUGCUGGACGGAGAGGCUAGCGGCCUUGGCCUCAGCUCCUCGAAAUCUGGCCACAGCUCCUCCAGCUCCCACAUCAGCUCGUCUAGCUCCGGUGUCAGCUCCGGCCUAAGCUCCGGCCUCAGCACCUCCAGCUCUGGCCUCAGCUCCAGUCUCAGCUCCUCCAGCUCCGGCCCCAGCUCAUCCACCUCCACCACACGCAAGGUGGUGAUCGUCACAGAGGAAAUGGUGGAUGGCAAGGUUGUCUCCUCAAGUGAAACCAAACACACCUCUUAAGGUCCCACACACACAGCGAGCACUGCAGUAAGCAAUGGGUUAAUCCCAUACAAAUAUAAUUGCUAGACUGGGUAUAGGAAAUUAGAGGCCAUCACAUGGAAUAUUGCUGCUCCCCAGUGCUUUGUUCAUGAAACCUAAAAUUCAACGUUUCAACUUAUACAGUGUCUUCAUAAGAUGAAAAAUCCCUGUCUUCCUUAUCUGUAUUAUUUGUUUAGGCCAGCUUGGGUUAACUGUAGUUAAAGAUGUGCAUAUUGUCCUCCUAUUCUUUCUAGAAUGGCUAAAGCCCCUCAGACACCCAUCAUGGUACAUUGACUUGAAUGGGGAUUUAUUUUCUGGUAAUUCUAUUUCUAUGGUUAACACCUCCAGAACAACAUAUUCUACUACAUGUGGAUGGGACACCAACAACAGACCCCAUUGUGAAUACAAUAAAGAUGCUCUGACUUGCUGACUUCA